GAUUAGCUAGUUAGCUAGCUCCAGUAGCUACCGCAGGAUAACAACAAACAGAAGCUUGCUCUUGGUCACGAGCUUUGAGUACGUGCACGAAGGGGUCACUCGCGGGGAGCGGGGGAAUGAUUGACUUGUUUAAUUUUCAUGUCAGUAGGCUACUUCUAACUCAGUGGCUGUAAGUGGGUUAUGAUAAGGAUUUCAAGUAAUUUUCAAGUAAAAUUACACCGUCAGAGCCAGAGCGUCAGACUGGGCUGUUCUCAGCAUACCGCAAAAAAGUGAAGAGGGUUCAAGUUCCAGUCCCCAAAUUCAGUUGAACCACUACCUGGACAUGUGUGAUGGACAGAGCUGCCUUCAGUUUUGGGCCAUGAACAGGCGCACCCUCCCCUCUUUGUUCAAGGUGGAGGUAAGAGUUAUGGCAGUCCCUGCAUCAAGUGCACCUGUUGAACGUGUGUUCAGCCAUGGUGGGGUGAUAAUGUGACCCCAUCAUUCACAACUCAGUGACAAAGUACUGUCAAAUUAAUUUUUUUGCAAAUGCAAUGCAUUGUAAGUCGAUGUAUGUUGCGAGGCAGCAAGAUUGCUACCAGCUUUCAGGCUUGUGUAUUACUAUUUCCCCUUCCUACAGUAUGUGUAUGUGAUAUUACUUUUGAAAUAUUCUUUUUUUUCAUGUCUGAUGCCAUGUGUUGCAAAUAAUAUUCUACAACAUCUAGGGAGAUUGAGUUAUUGACUUGAACUGUUCUCGUAUACAGCCACCUAGAGGUUCUAUUUGAUUCUGUUCAUAGGUUCGAGGUAAUGAUCAUAAAAACAUUUUCAAACUAUUCACAUAAUGGUUUUGGAAUGUUUUGAAUAGUUUGAGUUAUUGUUAAUAUUAAGACAUUGUUAUUGUUAAUGUUGAAAUAAAAUGAACCACUCUCUUUACCGA